UUGUUCCCUCUUUUUUUCUUUUCUAUUUUUUUUCUUUUUUACUAAUUAGUAUUCUACUGCAUGAAAACCUAAGCCUGUCACGUACAUCUUUAACUUUUAUUUAAAUGUCUUCUUGAAAAUGAUGCUGCAGUUAUACUUGACUCAUAAUGGUAAAGGUCUUUCUAGCACUAAAAACUUAAGAAAUCCAAAAUAAUCUGUAUUGGAGAAAGGCAGAGUGUGCUAAUUACUCUACUCAAACCCUGGGGGUGGGGCAGUCUGACAGGGGCUCUCUCAGUCAGUGUGUGUGCACUUGACAUGUGCAAGGCCAUGGCCACUUCUCCUACGUAGUGAAUCUGAAAGUCUCAGUCAUUGGACACAUAGCGUGGAUUUAAUAUACUUUACCACCUGAUACUUUCUUUUCAAAUGCUUAGAGAAUCACUUUAUUGUUUUUCUUCUAUUUUUAAAACCUCAUUUAAUAAAAAUUACCAUAAAAUUAGUGCUACAAAACACCAAAGAUGGUCUUGUAAACCACAGUAGUUGCCAGGACUUAAGAAGGAAGCAGUAUGGAGUUUGGGGUAUGAUGCAGCUGUUUACCAUGGAGGCAGUAUUGGUAUCAGAUAUAUAUGUUAUAAUUUCAUACAACUAUAGACCAAGAUGGGGAGUGGGAAGCUGAGUUUAUUGUGUGGUUGUUUUAAAAAGAAAGAUCAACUUUACAGUUACAGGAGAAAAGCAUUUUCAUCUUUAAUUUUUAUUAUUUUGCUAUUUCGGUGUUUUCUUUCUUCUUCGUUGUUUUGUUUCUUCCAUUUUCUGGAGUCAGCUGACCAUGACCUACUACUAGCCUUGGCUGUACUGGACUUUCCUAUAAUACGCAGGGUUUUGCUUGGACCUUGUCAUUUGAAGGAAUUACUACACUGAAAGGUUUAAUAGCCCAGUCUUUAAUUCACUGUCCCUUAACAAGGUUAUGUAUGAUUACACUUUGUAUAUAAUAAGACUUUGGGAUUUGUUAAAACUAAAAUUUAAAGUGUUGAAUCAUUGUGACCCAUAUUUAUAAAAUUAGCCUUAAAAUAAAAUAUAUUAAGCCUAUUUUGUUUCAUUAGGAAAAGAAAAGAUGUGCUUGAUUGAGAGAGGCCUCUUCAGGGCAGAAGGCUAUUCUGUGAGGUGAAGCGCUCUGACCACCUCCUCUCAUGCUCUCUUCACCCCAUAGCCAGAAAGCCAGAUGUUGGAUUUAGAAUCAGCAAGUCAUGCUUUCAGGAGACAAGGCAUUAUGUCUUAUUAAAAGUGGCUCUGAAUUUGGGGUCAGUAUGGAAUUGGUUUUCACUUGAAGGCUUCUGUAUCACUCAAAUCUCAUAGUGUACCCCAGUCCUUACUUCCUGUCCUCAGACGAUCUCUCUUGGAGCCAGACCGUCACCUGACUCCAGACCACUAUCUUCUAGCUUUCUGCCAUGAUGCUUUGUUCAUUCACUUUCGUCCUCCUGGCACCAUGUCUGAGCCUGCAUACUGCAGCAGAGCAUGAGUUAGGACGGUGGUCUCACUGCUUUGGAGCUCUGUGUCCUGACUGUACCUAGCCUGUGACACAGUGCGCCUUUCCAUUGCUGGUCUCCUGUCGCUCACGGAAACCUGAUCACUCUUCUGUUUAUCCUUUUAGAAAUUUUGGCUAGUAAGGCUUUUUCCUUUUUGUUUUCAUUUUCAUUUUUGUUUUUGUUUUUCAAGACAGGGUUUUUCUGUGUAGCCCUGGCUGUCCUGGAACUCACUCUGUAGACCAGGCUGACCUCGAACUCAGAUCCACCUGCCCCUGCCUCCUAAGUGCUGAGAUUAAAGGUGUGCGCCAACACUGCCUGGCUCCUUUUCUUUUUUUAAAGUUGUGUUUUUAAUUACAUUUAGAGUGUGUAUGUCUGUGUGCAUGCAUGUAUGCUUGUGCGUGCGUGUCUCUCUCCCCGUAUGUUUAAGGUCGUGUGCAGAGGACAGAAGUCGCUUCUCUGUCAUCCACGUGGGCCCUGGAGGUUGGGCUCAGGCUGGUAGGCUUGGUAGCAGGCCACUUGACUGGCUCUGGUUUAGCUUGGCUUGGAAUGUCUUUUCCUCCUGGUCUUCCUUUAUGCCAACUGGGAUGACACGUUCUCAGAGAAAUCUUUUUGUUCAUUUUUUAUUUUUCUAUUCACUUUUUUCCUCUGGUAGAAACAUUUCCCUAGUCUCUUGUUACACCACUGCUUAUUAAUCUGCCAAUCAGCUGUUCAUCAGGCACCAACAUGCUGUAGACAGAUAAAGACCAAUAAAUUGAUUUUUGUUUAUGUGAAACUUACCAUGCAUUUGUAGGUUUUUUUUUUUAAGCAUGUUUUAUAUUUGUCACAUUUAGUGCAUAUUUUUAUUUAUGUUGCUUACUAAAACAUUUAUACUUGAGAGUUUAAAUUCUUAGAAAGUCCAAACAAAACACCCCAAUUCCUGCUCUUCAUUUGACAUCUGUGCUUAAGUUUUCUAUAGAGCUCUUUCUAGAAAUUUGAUUGAAUUUUUCUCAUUUAAAUAGCAGUUAUAUUUUAGGGGUGUGUGAGUGUGUGUGUGUGUGUGUGUGUGUGUGUGUGUGUGUGUGGUAUCUUAGCAUAUAUGUGUAUAGUAGACACACAUGCCCUGUGGCGUGUCUUCCUUAGCUGUUACUCCACUUAUGUUUUGAGUCACUGGGUCCCAGAACCUAAAGCUCAUCAGUCACGCAGGAUGGCUGUCCGGUACACUGUAUGCAUCUUCUUGUUUCCACCCCAUGGCAUUAGAAUUACACGAGCUUGCUCCCCGCCCAGCUUUUACUUGGGGGUGCUCAAGAUCCAAACCACACCUGUACAGCAAGCACUUUACCCACUGAGCCAUCUUCCCAGCCUUGUAACCUUCUUCCCUGCUUACAUGACUUGGAUCAAAGCCCAGGCUGUUUCUCUAUAUUAUAUUGUAGUAUACAAUGUCAUGUAGUUCAUCGCCUUGUAUUGGGGUAUUUAAUACAUGAUACCUUUGAAUCCCUCUCUUAUUUUGUUAGCACAGUUAAGGGACUAAGGGCAUAGCAAUUAUUUUCAAAAUAGUUUUCUCUGAGCAGCAUCCAAGUGCUC
rnacentral:lncRNA from 1 species